rnacentral:rRNA from 1 species
GACGAACGCUGGCGGCGUGCUUAACACAUGCAAGUCGAACGGAAAGGCCCUGCUUUUGUGGGGUGCUCGAGUGGCGAACGGGGGAGGAAAACGUGAGUAACCUGCCCUUGACUUUGGGAUAACUUCAGGAAAAUGGGGCUAAUACCGGAUAGGAGCUCCUGCUGCAUGGUGGGGGGUGGAAAGUUUCGGCGGUUGGGGAUGGACUCGCGGCUUAUCAGCUUGUUGGUGGGGUAGUGGCUUACCAAGGCUUUGACGGGUAGCCGGCCUGAGAGGGUGACCGGCCACAUUGGGACUGAGAUACGGCCCAGACUCCUACGGGAGGCAGCAGUGGGGAAUAUUGCACAAUGGGCGGAAGCCUGAUGCAGCAACGCCGCGUGCGGGAUGACGGCCUUCGGGUUGUAAACCGCUUUCGCCUGUGACGAAGCGUGAGUGACGGUAAUGGGUAAAGAAGCACCGGCUAACUACGUG